UGUUCUCUACUCAUUUCUGUUCUACGAACUUUAAAUAUCAAAUUUCUCGAUUAGUGUGUUCGAAAUAAUUAUUACGUUUGGAGAAAGUGGUGGAGGUGAAAGGAACAAAAUAUGUGAAUCUCUUUUCUCUAUAAAUAUCUUUAAAAUGUCUCUAUCAGCAAAAUUUCGACAUAGUAUCAAACCAUUGAUAAUAAUGAAUUCAAUUUUUACCACUGGUCUGAUCGAAUAUUUCGUUGAUGAUAAGAUUAACGGAAUCGGUAUGGUUCAUGCUUGUUUUUCUAUCAUUUUCUACAUUUCGAUGACCAAUAUCAUUUCAUUUCCCUCGACAACGUUUAAAGAUGAAAAACCACUUCUUAUAAAACUAACAUAUGAGUUAUACGUCUAUAGCGAUUACAUGUAUUACAUUGUCACUAUUAUCGCUGGGAUACUCAGAAGAAAGAAGAUGAGACGUCUCACGUUACAAAUAGAAACUUGUACUCGAACUAUGAAUCAAUUAAAUAUACCGAUGAAUUUAUCUAAAUUUUUUCGGCAACAGUAUUACAUAAUGUUAAUUUCGAUUUUUAUCUUAAUGAGUAUGAUGAUAAUCGAUUAUAAAUGGCUAAAAUUAUUCGAGAGUAGUAUCUGGUUAAUUAUUGUAACAUGUUACAUCGAACGUUAUCCAUUUAUUCUAUUAUUAGUGACCGACAUUACUUUCAUAUUCUGGAUGAGAUAUAUACGGAUAAAAUUUGGUCAAUUGAACGAACUAUUGAAAGACAUGUUAACGACUAAUAUCGAUUCGCCGCAACAUAAAAGAAUCCUUCAAAUGAGAAAUAAUAAGAAGGACGAUUCUCCGUCAUCUGAUAUUCAUCAAACGUAUAAAUGGAAUAAAAACGUUCUGAAGAUUAAUAAAGCCAAGAAAAUACAUCUGGAACUAAUCAAGUGUGCUCAGAAUUUAAACAAUGCGUUUGGCUUACAUAAUUUAAUGUCUGUAUUAACAUCUUUCAUUAUAAUCACUGUUGUGGCUUACAAUCUAUACAAUCACAUAUAUAGCGGGGUCUACUAUACACAACUUUAUCAAUGUUUUACUUUCUUAUAUUGGAUUUGUUAUUUUGGAUUUAAGAUUAUUAUAGUAAGUCAUGUAUGUGAAAAAACUAUUAUAGAGGUAUGUUCUUUAAAUAUUCAUUAUAUUUUUCGCAAAUUUCGACGAAAUAUUGAACGAUAUAAAUAUUGAUGUUAUAUUAUUCUUCUUUACAUGCGACUAAAACCGGAGACAUCAUCUGUGAAUUGUAUGAACCAUCAUCCAGCAAGGAAUUUCGUGCUGAGAUUCGUGACUUCACUCUACAACUUAUUCAAAAUCCAUUGACUUUUACAACCUGCGGUUUUUUUUAUCUCGACCAUACAUUGAUACGUAAUGUGAUCAGUUCCGUCACAACUUAUCUCAUUAUUCUCAUUCAAGUUGGAAACGUACCACAACAAGUUUUCAUUGAAGAUUUGAAUUUAUCAGCUAAAUCAAAGGUUUAAAAUCAUUGUUACGUGUUCUAAACGAUCUACGAAAUACGCUUCGUUUCAUUAUUUUGUAUUGUUACAAAAAAAAAAAAAAAGAAAUGUAAAUUUUCAUUCAUUUAUAAUAAUUCCAAAUACAUUAUACAU